UCUGCCUACUUGUGAUCUCUGUCUGUCCAAUAAAUAAAUAAAAUCUUUUUUUAAAAAGUGGAUUAGAUAAGUCAUCGAACUCAAGGAACUGUCAGAAGGAAUUUUCUGGAACACUGCACAGAGAGACAAAGAUUAAGUCACCUGCACUAGACCUAGCACUCCCAGCCCCCAGUCUAAGGAAACCGUCUGGUCAAGGUCACCAGUGACCCCACAUGGCUUAGUUUGAAGCCGCCUCAUCUACACUGCUGUCUCUCCAGCCCAGACGUCUAGACGGGGGUGUCUACCGUCUCUCGAGCGUCCUCCCUGGGAUGUCUGCGAAGCACAGACUGACUUCUUGACCUGCCUCAUCUCUGCUCACCCAAGUGUCACUGAGCAGUUAGUCGCUCAGGCCGACCCUCUAGAGUCAUUCUGGACUCCCGUCUCUCGGACCCUACUUCCAGUCCGCCCGGAUGUCCUGUUGGUUUCAUCCUCAACACAGAUCCGGGGUCAGACUCUCCUAGUGUCAGACAGGCGUGGCAGCCGGCAACGUGGAAACGUCUCACGCCGAACACUGGUGCGUGGCGCCAUCUGGCAGUGGCCCUCCUGCGUGCACCGGUCUCCACCGAAGUCCCCCAGCAGCGUGUUGGAACCCAGCCCCGGAACAACCGCAACUGUCCGGCAGCGGUGAGACCAUCAGGAAACCGUGGAGUACGCAGGUGAGCCAACGGGAGGCAGGACGAGGAAGACGGACUGCGGCUGGACGUGAAUCGCAUGCACGGUGUGGAAGGAAGCAGCACACAGGCUUCGCGGUGUGAGUCCAUGUGUGUCAAGUUCAAGAGCAGCCACGAGGAGCCUCAGGGUCUGGAAGGCGGAGGAGUGAUUGCCCCUGGGCAUAGGUGGGGCUGCCGCCUGAGCAGCACUGAAGGCCUCCAGGGGCAGAUCGCCGGCGAGUCUUCAUCCGGGGGCUACACAAAGUGCUUGCCCUGUGGGAGUGCUGUGAGUGUACACCUAGGAUCUGUGUGCUUUGCUGCUAAGUUUUCCCUGGAUUCAAAACACCCAGAUUCAAGCGCCGCUCUUCCCACCUGCACGGCUCCUCCCUGGAUCCAAGCCCGGGACUCACUCGGGUGACUCCUGAACUGCCCCUGCUCCCAGUGUUGUCCAAGGAGAUCUGAGCUCAACACAGCCAGAAAGUGGCUGGGUUUUAUCACUCUGAGGCUCACCUCUGCAACGGCUCCUUCUGAGUAGCAUCUAGAUUCUUCCCAGUCAGCCUCAUGCCGGCAGGAUCCAGCCCCGGGGCUCCUUGCUGCCCUACCACAUGCCUGGCCACUCUCGGCAGAGGCCUUUGUCUGCUGUUCCCUCAGCCUGGGAACAAGGAGGACUGUUCUGACCCGCCAACUGACCUUGCACUCAGCACCCCCGGCACUCCUGUUCCUCCUCAUUCUAUACGACUCUCGUGACUUUACUCCAGCAACUUCUUCCUCCAAAAAACUCUGCGUGGUUUGAAGGGUAGAGCCCAGAAAUGUCCGCCCAGAACCUAUGGGUGUGACCUCAUUUGGAAAAGGGACUUUGCAGGUAUAAUGAAAGGUCUGGAGAUGAGAGCAUCCUGGUUAGGGAGGGCACAAACUCCAAUGGCAAGUGUCCACAGAAGAGAAGAGAAGGGGAGAAGAUACCCAGAGCCCCAGGGGAUGCGAAGACGGGGGUGCAGAUAGGGGGUGAUGAGUCCACCAGCAAGGACUGCUGGCUGCCGUUGGAAGCAACGGAAGCUACAGGGAGUGGAUUUUCUCUCUGGGCUUCCAGAAGGAACCAGAGCUACCAACGCCUUCAGUUUGGAUGCCUGACCUCCAGCUGUGGGCAAGAAUUCAUCUCUGUUGUUCUAAGCCACCGAGGCUGAGGUAAUUUUCUCCAGCAACUCUAGAAAAAUCAUGCAUAUGCCAUAUCACGGAUUUUUUAUUAUUAUUUUCUGUGUUCUCUCACUCUUGGCUCCCUGAGGGCACAAAUGACUAUUUUGUGCGUGAUGUGUUUCAAACACCAGGGCUGGGCACCUAGUAUGCACUCAAGCCUGAAAAGGAACGGAUUUAUUGAUUUUAGUGUGCGAAGUCCCUGCUGAAGUAUUCUAAGACUCAGCCGAUUAAACAAAUGGUUGACACGUGGCGCCCUGGAGGGGCCAACAGGAGUGGACGCUGCCCAUGGCAAUGUGGAGGAAGGUCAAGUACAUUUUGCUGAGCGGAAGGAGCCAGACAUAAAAGAAAGCGGGCUGUGUGAAACGAGCUGAGCAUUCCCAAGAGAAAGCAGAUGAACAUGGCUCUGAGCCCAGGGCACGGGAGGGUCACUGAACACGAGCUAUUUUUUGGGGGGUGGUGAAAAUGGCCCAAUCUCUUAGUGAACACUCAAGCAUGGCGUCUGUCCGAACUCAUCAAACGGGACCCCUGAUAUGGGUGCAGGUGACUGUAUGUAAAUUAUAUCUCAGAAAAGGUGGUAUCAUCAGGUGGUUUGUCUAGAAUAAUGUCAUAAUUAUCUAGAGCAAAUCCCCACUGUGGACCCUGAAGCAGGUGUGAAGAUGUGAUUUUGGAGUCCAAGACUCUAUGUGGCAAGAAUGUAGAAGGAAGUAGAAAAUGUAAAACCAAAGGGACAGAGAACAGACAGCGCUGACUGUGGGGAGCCUGACAGAGGGCGCGCACCUGAGAGGCGGCGCUGCCGGCAGAGUUCGCGUCUCCGACCCCAGUGCUCCAGCUUCGCGCCUGCUGCUCAGGCCUCCGGAACGCACCAGCAGCCUCCCCCGGGAGUGAGGCGUCCUUGACUGAGUUAAUCAGGCAGCUGUCCUGGAGGACACCGGGGGUUGCCUGUUACCCCCACCUGGCUCCCUCAGGCUUCUCCUUAUCUAUUUAUCUUAUCUUAUCUAUCUUUUUCAGGCGGGCUUGACUCUGACAACAGAUCGUGGAUGUUAGUUACCAAGCGGGACCGGCACUGGUUCAAGGAUUCAAAGGUCUAGUUCAUGUGAACCAGUGAUCAAUUUCAGAGGUCUUGUUGGUGGCUUUCAAAUAACAGCUGUUUUAUAAGGGAAGGAAAUUCCAGAGCAAAGUCUGAUGUGAAUAUUGAUGCAAGACUCCCAAGGAGUAUGUCAACUAAUAGGAACCAGCAAGGUAUAAAAGGAUAGUGUAUCAUGAUUUCCAAGGGGGGUCCCUUGGAAAGUAGAUGGCAUAGAGAUUGGUGUGCAGGACCCCAGAUGGGUGGGGUUGGGGGGAGUCCGUGGGAAGUGGAAGAGCAGGGCUGGGCAGGUCCCAUGGAAAGGCUCUGAACCCUGUGGGGCAUUGUGAAGGGGGCAAGAGGGCCUGACCCUUAUUCCUCUACAUUGACCUUUGUCAGAUGCUGUCACCUGGAGGGGCAGGUAAACUUGGCCAAGGCGGUUCUCUUUAGCUGGGCAGUCAGCAAAGGAUAGGCAUCUGACUGAGAACAGUUGAAUAUCAGAAAAUUAAGUGUUGCCCUUUGCAACCUUAACAGAAAAAGAUGAGAAAAAGAGUAUCAUCUCAACAUCUGGCAAAAUUCAAUACCCAUUUAUAACCUUUAUAAAUGAUCUCAGCUAACUGGGAAUAGACAAGAACAUCCUUAAUCUAAUACAGAAUAUUGUAAACCUUCUUCUUCUUCUUCUUCUUUUUUUUUUUUUUUUGGUUGGGGAGGAGCAGAGAGAGAGGGAGAGAAUCUU